UUUUUCCAUGGCUACACCCAAAAUUCCGUGGAAGCAGACACAGUUAUUUUGGAACCACAGCCCCGUUCUAUCCAGAUGGGAGAAGACAGCCAUUCCUUGCUGCUGCUCACCCCCGCUCCCUAGCUGCCCCUCGAGGUCUCCAGCCUGUCCCUGUGUGCCCGCACCUCUCCCAGCACGAGGGCUGGGCUGACGCUGGGGCAGGGGCUGGGACUGCUCCCACUCAGCUGAUUUGGGUGUGAGAGGCUCUCGGAGAUGCGCUGCCUGCGGUUCCCGGUUGUCAUGGCAACGCCUGUGCAUCCCAGGGCAGUGCUGAGCAGUACCGCACUGCACAGAGGCACCCGCACCUUCCUUCAGAGCCGCACACCUCCUGCUCCUUCUUCCUUUGCUAAUUUAUGCUUAAUCUAAGGAAGGGAGCGCAUCCACAACAAAUGCCACAGAGUCUUGAUUCAGCCGGUCCAUCCAGCGGUGAGAAGGGCCCCUGCCCAGGCCGGAGCUGGUGCCACUGAGCAGGGCAGCGCUCCCCCCACUGCCCCCAGCCCUCGCCCUUCUCCUGCAGCCAAGCAGCCAUGUCUCACAGUGCCAACAGGCAAACAUUCACCGACCGAGGGUACAGCCAUUCCUGCUAACUACUGACUUCUGCUGCACUGGAACCCAAGCCACUGCAUUCAGACAGCUUGAAUUAAUGAAAUCUAAGAGAGAAGCCUGCGUAGGACAUGGCAGGCCUGCGAGCGCAGAGCCACGCGUGCUGCACAGCCUCCAAGCCAUGCUCUGCCUGCACGGGAGCCCUGAGAAGCAGGAAAAGAAAGGGAGAGGGAGAGCUUUGCCAAAGGAAAAAUGACAUCUUGGGACAGCUGAUACCUCCCAAACUCGCACUCAACAAUGUUAUCUUAGUACUUCCUCUGCCGCUCCAACCCUCUGACCACCAUGGCAUUCACCUCUGACAGAAGCUGGCGGGCAGCUCAGAAAUGCACUCACUGGUCAUCAAUCCACGUUUUUGUCAUAAUGAUAAAUACAUGAAGUGUCCAAGCAGCUUACUCAUUGUCUGCUUCCUCUUUUCAGAACCACUGCGACAAAUAAAUAUGGACAUGCUUGUGGGUGGACUCGGUAU
rnacentral:lncRNA from 1 species